UACGGAGGGUGCAAGCGUUAUCCGGAUUCACUGGGUUUAAAGGGUGCGUAGGUGGGUUGGUAAGUCAGUGGUGAAAUCUCCGAGCUUAACUCGGAAACUGCCGUUGAUACUAUCAGUCUUGAAUAUCGUGGAGGUAAGCGGAAUAUGUCAUGUAGCGGUGAAAUGCUUAGAUAUGACAUAGAACACCGAUAGCGAAGGCAGCUUGCUACACGAUCAUUGACACUGAGGCACGAAAGCGUGGGGAUCAAACAGG
rnacentral:rRNA from 1 species